rnacentral:rRNA from 1 species
GUAAGGAAUAUUGGACAAUGGACGCAAGUCUGAUCCAGCCAUGCCGCGUGAAGGAUUAAGGUCCUCUGGAUUGUAAACUUCUUUUAUAAGGGACGAAAAAAGGCUUUUCUAAGUCGUCUGACGGUACCUUAUGAAUAAGCACCGGCUAACUCCGUGCCAGCAGCCGCGGUAAUACGGAGGGUGCAAGCGUUAUCCGGAUUCACUGGGUGUAAAGGGUGCGUAGGCGGGCAGGUAAGUCAGUGGUGAAAUCCUAGAGCUUAACUCUAGAACUGCCAUUGAUACUAUCUGUCUUGAAUAUUGUGGAGGUAAGCGGAAUAUGUCAUGUAGCGGUGAAAUGCUUAGAUAUGACAUAGAACACCUAUUGCGAAGGCAGCUUACUACGCAUAUAUUGACGCUGAGGCACGAAAGCGUGGGGAUCAAACAGGAUUAGAUACCCCGGUAGUCC